rnacentral:rRNA from 1 species
CCCGCACAAGCGGUGGAGCAUGUGGUUUAAUUCGAUGCAACGCGAAAAACCUUACCUACCCUUUGACAUGUCCGGAAUCCUGCAGAGAUGCGGGAGUGCCCGAAAGGGAAUCGGAACACAGGUGCUGCAUGGCUGUCGUCAGCUCGUGUCGUGAGAUGUUGGGUUAAGUCCCGUAACGAGCGCAACCCUUGUCCUUAGUUACCAGCACGUAAUGGUGGGCACUCUAAGGAGACUGCCGGUGACAAACCGGAGGAAGGUGGGGAUGACGUCAAGUCAUCGUGGCCCUUACGGCCAGGGCUACACACGUGCUACAAUGGGGCGUACAGAGAGCUGCGAUACCGCGAGGUGGAGCCAAUCUCUUAAAGCGUCUCUCAGUUCGGAUUGUUCUCUGCAACUCGAGAACAUGAAGCUGGAAUCACUAGUAAUCGCAGAUCAGCUAUGCUGCGGUGAAUACGUUCCCGGGUCUU